CAACCCAGACCGCCAGCUAAGGUCCCAAAGUCAUGGUUAAGUGGGAAACGAUGUGGGAAGGCCCAGACAGCCAGGAUGUUGGCUUAGAAGCAGCCAUCAUUUAAAGAAAGCGUAAUAGCUCACUGGUCGAGUCGGCCUGCGCGGAAGAUGUAACGGGGCUAAACCAUGCACCGAAGCUGCGGCAGCGAACGUAUCACCCAAGACAACUUUACGGAGUUGACGAUUGACGGAGCGAAGCGACGUCAAAGCGUUCAUUAAAGUCGAGUUGGCUUAGGGAUACGUUCGUUGGGUAGGGGAGCGUUCUGUAAGCCUGCGAAGGUGGCCUGUGAGGGUUGCUGGAGGUAUCAGAAGUGCGAAUGCUGACAUAAGUAACGAUAAAGCGGGUGAAAAGCCCGCUCGCCGGAAGACCAAGGGUUCCUGUCCAACGUUAAUCGGGGCAGGGUGAGUCGACCCCUAAGGCGAGGCCGAAAGGCGUAGUCGAUGGGAAACGGGUUAAUAUUCCCGUACUUGGUGUUACUGCGAAGGGGGGACGGAGAAGGCUAUGUUGGCCGGGCGACGGUUGUCCCGGUUUAAGCGUGUAGGUGUGUGUUCCAGGUAAAUCCGGUUCACUUUAACACUGAGGCGUGACGACGAGGCACUACGGUGCUGAAGCAACAAAUGCCCUGCUUCCAGGAAAAGCCUCUAAGCAUCAGGUAACAUCAAAUCGUACCCCAAACCGACACAGGUGGUCAGGUAGAGAAUACCAAGGCGCUUGAGAGAACUCGGGUGAAGGAACUAGGCAAAAUGGUGCCGUAACUUCGGGAGAAGGCACGCUGACACGUAGGUGAAGUGAUUUACUCAUGGAGCUGAAGUCAGUCGAAGAUACCAGCUGGCUGCAACUGUUUAUUAAAAACACAGCACUGUGCAAACACGAAAGUGGACGUAUACGGUGUGACGCCUGCCCGGUGCCGGAAGGUUAAUUGAUGGGGUCAGCGCAAGCGAAGCUCCUGAUCGAAGCCCCGGUAAACGGCGGCCGUAACUAUAACGGUCCUAAGGUAGCGAAAUUCCUUGUCGGGUAAGUUCCGACCUGCACGAAUGGCGUAAUGAUGGCCAGGCUGUCUCCACCCGAGACUCAGUGAAAUUGAACUCGCUGUGAAGAUGCAGUGUACCCGCGGCAAGACGGAAAGACCCCGUGAACCUUUACUAUAGCUUGACACUGAACAUUGAGCCUUGAUGUGUAGGAUAGGUGGGAGGCUUUGAAGUGUGGACGCCAGUCUGCAUGGAGCCGACCUUGAAAUACCACCCUUUAAUGUUU
rnacentral:rRNA from 1 species